rnacentral:rRNA from 1 species
ACUCGUGGCCAAAUCUCCUUGUCAAAGCCUGAUCUCAGAAGCUAAGUGGGGCUGGGCCUGGUUAGUACUUGGAUGCCAGACUC